CAAGUCGAGCGGAUGAAGGGAGCUUGCUCCCUGAUUCAGCGGCGGACGGGUGAGUAAUGCCUAGGAAUCUGCCUGGUAGUGGGGGACAACGUCUCGAAAGGGACGCUAAUACCGCAUACGUCCUACGGGAGAAAGUGGGGGAUCUUCGGACCUCACGCUAUCAGAUGAGCCUAGGUCGGAUUAGCUAGUUGGUGAGGUAAUGGCUCACCAAGGCGACGAUCCGUAACUGGUCUGAGAGGAUGAUCAGUCACACUGGAACUGAGACACGGUCCAGACUCCUACGGGAGGCAGCAGUGGGGAAUAUUGGACAAUGGGCGAAAGCCUGAUCCAGCCAUGCCGCGUGUGUGAAGAAGGUCUUCGGAUUGUAAAGCACUUUAAGUUGGGAGGAAGGGUUGCUGAUUAAUACUCUGCAAUUUUGACGUUACCGACAGAAUAAGCACCGGCUAACUCUGUGCCAGCAGCCGCGGUAAUACAGAGGGUGCAAGCGUUAAUCGGAAUUACUGGGCGUAAAGCGCGCGUAGGUGGUUUGUUAAGUUGAAUGUGAAAUCCCCGGGCUCAACCUGGGAACUGCAUCCAAAACUGGCAAGCUAGAGUAGGGCAGAGGGUGGUGGAAUUUCCUGUGUAGCGGUGAAAUGCGUAGAUAUAGGAAGGAACACCAGUGGCGAAGGCGACCACCUGGGCUCAUACUGACACUGAGGUGCGAAAGCGUGGGGAGCAAACAGGAUUAGAUACCCUGGUAGUCCACGCCGUAAACGAUGUCAACUAGCCGUUGGAAUCCUUGAGAUUUUAGUGGCGCAGCUAACGCAUUAAGUUGACCGCCUGGGGAGUACGGCCGCAAGGUUAAAACUCAAAUGAAUUGACGGGGGCCCGCACAAGCGGUGGA
rnacentral:rRNA from 1 species